rnacentral:rRNA from 1 species
AGUGAACGCUGGCGGCGUGCUUAACACAUGCAAGUCGAACGAGAACGGAUUAUAGCUUGCUAUAAUUGUCAGCUAAGUGGCGCACGGGUGAGUAAUGUAUAGGUAAUAUGCCUCUUACUAAGGGAUAACAAAUGGAAACGUUUGCUAAUACCUUAUACUCCUUAUUAACAGAAGUUAAUAAGGGAAAGAUUUAUUGGUAAGAGAUUAGCCUGUAUUGUAUCAGUUAGUUGGUGGGGUAAUGGCUUACCAAGACUAUGACACAUAAAUGGUUUGAGGGGAUGAUCAGUGACACUGGAACUGAGACACGGUCCAGACUCCUACGGGAGGCAGCAGUGGGGAAUAUUGCACGAUGGACGAAAGUCUGAUGCAGCAACGCCGCGUGGAGGAUGACACAUUUCGGUGCGUAAACUCCUUUUAUAUGAGAGGAUAAUGACGGUAUUAUAUGAAUAAGCACCGGCUAACUCCGUGCCAGCCGCCGCCGUAA